ACAUACGACCAUAGGGUGUGGAAAACAGGGCUUCCCGUCCGCUCAGCCGUACUUAAGCCACACGCCGGGAGGUUAGUAGUUGGGUGGGUGACCACCAGCGAAUCCCUUCUGUUGUGUGUA
rfam:Aspergillus luchuensis DNA, map: 5-2 F, contig: AA1_SCon_020, strain: RIB 2604.